AGAGUUUGAUCCUGGCUCAGGACGAACGCUGGCGGCGUGCUUAACACAUGCAAGUCGAACGGAAAGGCCUAGCUUGCUAGGUACUCGAGUGGCGAACGGGUGAGUAACACGUGGGUGAUCUGCCUCGUACUUCGGGAUAAGCCUGGGAAACUGGGUCUAAUACUGGAUAGGACCAUGCUUUAGUGUGUGUGGUGGAAAGUUUUUCGGUACGAGAUGAGCCCGCGGCCUAUCAGCUUGUUGGUGGGGUAAUGGCCUACCAAGGCGUCGACGGGUAGCCGGCCUGAGAGGGUGGACGGCCACAUUGGGACUGAGAUACGGCCCAGACUCCUACGGGAGGCAGCAGUGGGGAAUAUUGCACAAUGGGCGCAAGCCUGAUGCAGCGACGCCGCGUGGGGGAUGACGGCCUUCGGGUUGUAAACCUCUUUCGCUAGGGACGAAGCUUUUGUGACGGUACCUAGAUAAGAAGCACCGGCUAACUACGUGCCAGCAGCCGCGGUAAUACGUAGGGUGCGAGCGUUGUCCGGAAUUACUGGGCGUAAAGAGCUCGUAGGUGGUUUGUCGCGUCGUCUGUGAAAUUCCGGGGCUUAACUUCGGGCGUGCAGGCGAUACGGGCAUAACUUGAGUGCUGUAGGGGAGACUGGAAUUCCUGGUGUAGCGGUGGAAUGCGCAGAUAUCAGGAGGAACACCGAUGGCGAAGGCAGGUCUCUGGGCAGUAACUGACGCUGAGGAGCGAAAGCAUGGGGAGCGAACAGGAUUAGAUACCCUGGUAGUCCAUGCCGUAAACGGUGGGCGCUAGGUGUGAGGGUCUUCCACGACUUUCGUGCCGUAGCUAACGCAUUAAGCGCCCCGCCUGGGGAGUACGGCCGCAAGGCUAAAACUCAAAGGAAUUGACGGGGGCCCGCACAAGCGGCGGAGCAUGUGGAUUAAUUCGAUGCAACGCGAAGAACCUUACCUGGGCUUGACAUAUGCAGGAUCGGCGUAGAGAUACGUUUUCCCUUGUGGUCUGUAUACAGGUGGUGCAUGGUUGUCGUCAGCUCGUGUCGUGAGAUGUUGGGUUAAGUCCCGCAACGAGCGCAACCCUUGUCUUAUGUUGCCAGCACGUGAUGGUGGGGACUCAUGAGAGACUGCCGGGGUUAACUCGGAGGAAGGUGGGGAUGACGUCAAAUCAUCAUGCCCCUUAUGUCCAGGGCUUCACACAUGCUACAAUGGUCGGUACAACGCGCUGCGAGCCUGUGAGGGUGAGCGAAUCGCUGAAAGCCGGCCUCAGUUCGGAUUGGGGUCUGCAACUCGACCCCAUGAAGUCGGAGUCGCUAGUAAUCGCAGAUCAGCAACGCUGCGGUGAAUACGUUCCCGGGCCUUGUACACACCGCCCGUCACGUCAUGAAAGUUGGUAACACCCGAAGCCAGUGGCCUAACCCUUGUGGGGGGAGCUGUCGAAGGUGGGAUCGGCGAUUGGGACGAAGUCGUAACAAGGUAGCCGUACCGGAAGGUGCGGCUG
rnacentral:rRNA from 1 species